GGAAGCCUUGGAGGGUAUGCAGGUAUGGAUUCUGUGAGCAAUAGUAAUAUAUGGCUGUGGUGUGGAGGAGUGUUGUGUUAGGAGGCUCCCUUCUGGGGCUAAAGGCACAGUGUUCCUGGUGCUGUGCUGGCUCAUUGCGUUGUGAAGAUUAUUCUUGUGUGGAUAUACAUGAUUUUGAAGCUUGUUCUGAUAAUAAGCAUAAAUGUGUGCCCUUUGGAAGCAUGAGUGAAUAAGAACCCAGCCCAGCAGUCUACCUGACUGAGCAAAUUGGUAACCAAUCAAUUAUUCCUAAGUAAGAAGGCGACUACUUCAUGCUCAAGACAGAAUAUCAGUAUCUCUGUAUAAUUUUUGGCCUCUACCUCUGUAUUUGACGAGGUAUUUGGUGCUGAACUGAAGGGUCACAGCAACUGCCAAGCAUUCCUUGAAGAAAAAUCCUGUCUGUAGAAAGAAUGAGGUGUGCUUAUUAACGGGUUCUGAUAUAAUUGUA
ensembl:lncRNA